rnacentral:rRNA from 1 species
AUGUCCUCGUCGUCCGCCGCCGCCGGCGCCUCCGUGCCGGGGGCCACGCCGGCGGACGCCCUCCGCCGCAACCGUAUCAUCUCCAGCAAGCUCUACUUCGACGUGCCGGGCUCCAAGGCUCCGGUGGUCUACUCCACGGCGUACGACAUCGCCUUCCUCGGCAUCGAGAAGAUGCACCCGUUCGAUUCCUCCAAAUGGGGCCGCAUAUGCAGGUUCCUCACCAAAGAAGGCCACCUGGAGAAGAACCGAGUGGUGGAGCCAUUGGAGGCUUCCAGGGAAGACCUGCUGGUGGUUCACACGGAGGCAUACUUGAACAGCCUCAAGAGCAGCUUCAGGGUUGCAGCCAUUGUAGAGGUUCCUCCAUUAACGCUCAUUCCUAAUUGGCUCGUACAGCAAAGGCUACUGUACCCCUUCCGGAAACAGGUGGGUGGGUCCAUUUUAUCAGCUAAACUUGCGCUUGAGAGAGGAUGGGCGAUUAAUGUCGGUGGAGGGUUUCACCAUUGUUCGGCGGAGGAAGGGGGUGGAUUUUGUGCAUACGCUGAUAUUACGCUCUGCAUUCAGUUUGCGUUUGUCCGUCUGGAUAUUUCAAGAGUAAUGAUCAUAGAUCUGGAUGCUCACCAAGGAAAUGGUCAUGAGAAGGAUUUUGCUCAUGAUGGAAGGGUUUACAUUUUGGACAUGUACAAUGCUGGAAUUUAUCCGUUUGAUCAUGCUGCUAAGCGAUAUAUUGAUCAGAAAGUUGAGUUAGUUAGUGGGACAGAAACAGAUGAUUACUUGGAUCAGCUUGACAAGGCUUUGAAGGUCGCCCAAACUAGAUUCCAGCCCCAGCUUAUUAUUUAUAAUGCUGGGACAGACAUCCUGGAUGGUGAUCCAUUGGGCAACUUGAAGAUAAGCCCUGAAGGUGUGGUGAUCAGAGAUGAGAAGGUGUUCAGAUUUGCAAAAGAUCAGAACAUUCCACUUGUCAUGAUGACAUCAGGAGGCUACAUGAAGUCGAGCGCACGUGUAAUCGCAGAUUCGAUUACCAAUCUCUCACAGAAGGACUUGAUACAGCUAGGUAGCCAGCCAGACUAA